rnacentral:lncRNA from 10 species
UCAUCACUCAAUCUCCAGGACCAAGUUAAUGUUCUGUAUAUAGUAAUGUCGACAGCAACAUCUCCCCCAGGUGUAACAACUAAACGUGUCUCCAGACAUUGGCAAAUAUCCUUGGGCCAUGGAGAAAACAUCACCUUCAAUUGAAAACCACUGGGCCACUCUAAUGCCUUCAAGAGAGAAGCAGCACCUUUCAUUGGAGGUAGCUGUAUCACAAGACAGCAGCAACAGCCUUAAGUCCUACAGCACACAGCACUGAAUAAAUGCUUUUGGACAGUUGUCUAUCUUCUGCCUCAGAGAAAAGAUGGAGUCCCGUUAAGAACAUAUGUACCUUGUACCUGACAUAGAAACUUCCUGUCCUAGAUGCUGUAGUAUAUUGUGGGUAUAUACUUGGGGAUUGAGAGAACAGAAAAAAGGCCGAGGCAUCAUCCUCUUCUAUGACUCUGAGGAUCAAAGGCAUUUUCUUGUAUUUCUUGAACAAAGAUUUGUGGAGGACCUACUCUGUGCAGACAUUAUUAGACAAUAAAG